rnacentral:rRNA from 1 species
UACGAAGGGGGCUAGCGUUGCUCGGAAUCACUGGGCGUAAAGCGCACGUAGGCGGAUCUUUAAGUCAGGGGUGAAAUCCCAAGGCUCAACCUUGGAACUGCCUUUGAUACUGGGGAUCUCGAGUCCGGAAGAGGUGAGUGGAACUGCGAGUGUAGAGGUGAAAUUCGUAGAUAUUCGCAAGAACACCAGUGGCGAAGGCGGCUCACUGGGCCGGUACUGACGCUGAGGUGCGAAAGCGUGGGGAGCAAACAGG